UGGGGAAUUUUGGACAAUGGGCGAAAGCCUGAUCCAGCAAUGCCGCGUGUGUGAAGAAGGCCUUCGGGUUGUAAAGCACUUUUGUCCGGAAAGAAAUCCUUGGCUCUAAUACAGUCGGGGGAUGACGGUACCGGAAGAAUAAGCACCGGCUAACUACGUGCCAGCAGCCGCGGUAAUACGUAGGGUGCAAGCGUUAAUCGGAAUUACUGGGCGUAAAGCGUGCGCAGGCGGUUUGCUAAGACCGAUGUGAAAUCCCCGGGCUCAACCUGGGAACUGCAUUGGUGACUGGCAGGCUAGAGUAUGGCAGAGGGGGGUAGAAUUCCACGUGUAGCAGUGAAAUGCGUAGAGAUGUGGAGGAAUACCGAUGGCGAAGGCAGCCCCCUGGGCCAAAUACUGACGCUCAUGCACGAAAAGCGUGGGGAGCAAACAGGAUUAGAUACCCUGGUAGUCCACGCCCUAAAACGAUGUCAACUAGUUGUUGGGGAUUCAUUUCCUUAGUAACUAGCUAACGCGUGAAGUUGACCGCCUGGGGAGUACGGUCGCAAGAUUAAAAACUUAAAUGAAUUGACGGGG
rnacentral:rRNA from 1 species